rnacentral:rRNA from 1 species
AGAGUUUGAUCAUGGCUCAGAGUGAACGCUGGCGGCGUGCUUAACACAUGCAAGUCGAACGAGAACGGGUAUUAGCUUGCUAAUACUGUCAGCUAAGUGGCGCACGGGUGAGUAAUAUAUAGGUAAUGUGCCUUGAAGAAGGGGAUAACAGUUGGAAACGACUGCUAACACCCUAUAUGCCUUUAAUACACAAGUAUGCAAGGGAAAUAUUUAUAGCUUCAAGAUCGGCCUGUACAGUAUCAGUUAGUUGGUGAGGUAAUGGCUCACCAAGACAAUGACGCUUAACUGGUUUGAGAGGAUGAUCAGUCACACUGGAACUGAGACACGGUCCAGACUCCUACGGGAGGCAGCAGUGGGGAAUAUUGCACAAUGGGGGAAACCCUGAUGCAGCAACGCCGCGUGGAGGAUGACACAUUUCGGUGCGUAAACUCCUUUUAUAUAGGAAGAUAAUGACGGUACUAUAUGAAUAAGCGCCGGCUAACUCCGUGCCAGCAGCCGCGGUAAUACGGAGGGCGCAAGCGUUACUCGGAAUCACUGGGCGUAAAGAGCGUGUAGGCGGAUAAAUAAGUUGGGAGUGAAAUCCUAUGGCUCAACCAUAGAACUGCUUCCAAAACUGUUUAUCUAGAAUAUGGGAGAGGUAGAUGGAAUUUCUGGUGUAGGGGUAAAAUCCGUAGAGAUCAGAAGGAAUACCGAUUGCGAAGGCGAUCUACUGGAACAUUAUUGACGCUGAGACGCGAAAGCGUGGGGAGCAAACAGGAUUAGAUACCCUGGUAGUCCACGCCCUAAACGAUGUACACUAGUUGUUGUGAGGCUAGACCUUGCAGUAAUGCAGUUAACACAUUAAGUGUACCGCCUGGGGAGUACGGUCGCAAGAUUAAAACUCAAAGGAAUAGACGGGACCCGCACAAGCGGUGGAGCAUGUGGUUUAAUUCGACGAUACGCGAAGAACCUUACCUGGACUUGACAAUAGUAAGAACUUUCUUAGAAGAAUAGAAGAGGUGUCUGCUUGCAGAACUUAUUAUACAGGUGCUGCACGCUGUUCGCAGCUCGUGUUCGUGAGAUGUUGGGGUAGUCCGCACGAGCGCAUCCCUCGUCGUAAGUUG